rnacentral:rRNA from 1 species
CUACGUGCCAGCAGCCGCGGUAAUACGGAAGGUCCAGGCGUUAUCCGGAUUUAUUGGGUUUAAAGGGAGCGUAGGCUGGAGAUUAAGUGUGUUGUGAAAUGUAGACGCUCAACGUCUGACUUGCAGCGCAUACUGGUUUCCUUGAGUACGCACAACGUUGGCGGAAUUCGUCGUGUAGCGGUGAAAUGCUUAGAUAUGACGAAGAACUCCGAUUGCGAAGGCAGCUGACGGGAGCGCAACUGACGCUGAAGCUCGAAGGUGCGGGUAUCGAACAGGAUUAGAUACCCUGGUAGUCCGCACAGUAAACGAUGGAUGCCCGCUGUUGGUACCUGGUAUCAGCGGCUAAGCGAAAGCAUUAAGCAUCCCACCUGGGGAGUACGCCGGCAACGGUGAAACUCAAAGGAAUUGACGGGGGCCCGCACAAGCGGAGGAACAUGUGGUUUAAUUCGAUGAUACGCGAGGAACCUUACCCGGGCUUGAA